rnacentral:ncRNA from 1 species
GCAGAGUAGGAUCUCUCGCGUCAAGUGCCGGAGGAACAGGGAGUUGUCUUCCGGACGAAGGAGCGGCAGGAAUGAGCGGCAGAGCGCCGCACAGGAAGGCCGCCCGCGGUGAGAGGUCCGCAUCCCGCUGC